UACGAGGGGGGCAAGCGUUGUUCGGAAUUAUUGGGCGUAAAGGGCGCGUAGGCGGUGCGACGUGUCUCCUGUGAAAUCUCCAGGCUUAACUUGGAGUCUGCAGGGGAAACUGUCGUGCUGGAGUACUGGAGAGGUGAGUGGAAUUCCCGGUGUAGAGGUGAAAUUCGUAGAUAUUGGGAAGAACACCGGUGGCGAAGGCGGCUCACUGGCCCGUUUCUGACGCUGAGGCGCGGAAAGCGUGGGGAGCAAACAGGG
rnacentral:rRNA from 1 species